rnacentral:rRNA from 1 species
AGUCCCGCAACGAGCGCAACCCUUGUCCUAUGUUGCCAGCGGUUCGGCCGGGGACUCAUAGGAGACUGCCGGGGACAACUCGGAGGAAGGCGAGGACGAUGUCAAGUCAUCAUGCCCCUUAUAUCCAGGGCUGCACGCAUGCUACAAUGGGCGGUACAACGGGCCGCGAUCCCGCGAGGGUAAGCCAAUCCCAUAAAGCCGUCCUCAGUUCGGAUUGAAGUCUGCAACUCGACUUCAUGAAGCCGGAGUCGCUAGUAAUCGUGGAUCAGCAAAGCCGCGGUGAAUACGUUCUCGGGGCUU